CAAGUCGAGCGUAGAGAGAAGCUUGCUCUCUUGAGAGCGGCGGACGGUGAGUAAUGCCUAGGAUCUGCCUGGUAGUGGGGGAUAACGUUCGGAAACGGACGCUAAUACCGCAUACGUCUACGGGAGAAAGCAGGGACUUCGGGCCUUGCGCUAUCAGAUGAGCCUAGGUCGGAUUAGCUAGUUGGUGAGGUAAUGGCUCACCAAGGCGACGAUCCGUAACUGGUCUGAGAGGAUGAUCAUCACACUGGAACUGAGACACGGUCCAGACUCCUACGGGAGGCAGCAGUGGGGAAUAUUGGACAAUGGGCGAAGCCUGAUCCAGCCAUGCCGCGUGUGUGAAGAAGUCUUCGGAUUGUAAAGCACUUUAAGUUGGGAGGAAGGGUUGUAGAUUAAUACUCUGCAAUUUUGACGUUACCGACAGAAUAAGCACCGGCUAACUCUGUGCCAGCAGCCGCGGUAAUACAGAGGGUGCAAGCGUUAAUCGGAAUUACUGGGCGUAAAGCGCGCGUAGGUGGUUUGUUAAGUUGGAUGUGAAUCCCCGGGCUCAACCUGGAACUGCAUCAAAACUGACUGAUAGAGU
rnacentral:rRNA from 1 species